CACCCAUUUCCCCGAAUCAAGAAUCAUUCGUGCACCCCCAUUGGCCCCUUCUUAAGCAAAGCAAAGAGAACCCUAGCCCUAGGAUCCUUGCCAGUGCCGUCCCCAGGUUCUCGGCGCCUCUACUUCUUCCUCUUCCCCCUGUCUGGAACCCAGGUAGCUCGGCUCGUCAUCCCCAUCUUCCUUGGCUUCUCUGUUCGUGGCUUGGAGCAGCUCGCCGUUGGGUUGCCGCUUGCCGUCGGCUCGCCUAUCAACGUCGUCUCGCCGGUUGCCAUCCGUGUCUUCGUCGAAGGUUCAGUGUUGGCUUCAACUUUCAAAUGGAAAUUGGGAGCUGGUGAAGAUAAUAACAUCUUCUGGAACUGAGUCUGUUGUUUUAUUGCCUGAUGGGAAAGUAAGAUAUGAUCUAGCAUUACCAUAGUACACAGUGAUGUUUGUUCCAUCUAGCUGGACUCUGUGAGACAACUAGAAAAUGUUCUUUUAAUUUAACCUUGUUAAUCAUAUCUUGUACAAUUCAGACAAAAGUAGGGCCUAUUUUGGUUGCCAUAAAUUCCUUCAAGAAAGUUCCUCUGUAUGGUAAUUAUUAUAUUAAAUCCUACAAGCGUAAGAAUUAAAAAGGCCUAUUUUGUUUUACUUUUUGACUUAGCUACAUUAAGGCAAUAUUCUCUAUCUUUAACUUGUGCACUGCAAUUCAAUCCAGCUAUUUUUAAUGGAAGUAUAAUUAUGUUAAUUGUCAA